UAGGAGAGCUGUCUUUGUCGGUUGAAUAUUAGAAAGUCUACUGUCAUGGAGUAGCUCUCUUAGA
rnacentral:pre_miRNA from 1 species